UUGACUGCGAGAGUGACAGCUCGAGCAGGUACGAAAGUAGGUCUUAGUGAUCCGGUGGUUCUGUAUGGAAGGGCCAUCGCUCAACGGAUAAAAGGUACUCCGGGGAUAACAGGCUGAUACCGCCCAAGAGUUCAUAUCGACGGCGGUGUUUGGCACCUCGAUGUCGGCUCAUCACAUCCUGGGGCUGAAGUAGGUCCCAAGGGUAUGGCUGUUCGCCAUUUAAAGUGGUACGCGAGCUGGGUUUAGAACGUCGUGAGACAGUUCGGUCCCUAUCUGCCGUGGGCGUUGGAAGAUUGAAAGGGGCUGCUCCUAGUACGAGAGGACCGGAGUGGACGCACCACUGGUGUUCGGGUUGUCAUGCCAAUGGCAUUGCCCGGUAGCUAAGUGCGGCAGAGAUAACCGCUGAAAGCAUCUAAGCGGGAAACUUGCCUUGAGAUGAGUCUUCCCUUGUCCCUUGAGGACACUAAAGGAACGUUCGAGACGAGGACGUGGAUAGGCUGGGUGUGUAAGCGUUGCGAGACGUUGAGCUAACCAGUACUAAUGAACCGUGCGGCUUAACCUG
rnacentral:ncRNA from 1 species